rnacentral:sRNA from 1 species
UUUUAGCCCAGAUAGCAGUGAAAAGCUUUUUGAAAUGGCUGGCAUUUUUUUGUUGGUAAAAAAAAGCGACCAAAGGAAGCUCUUUUUUUACCUUACAAAAAAGGCAGCAAUGAAAAAACUUGCAACGAAUAGCUGGAUUGGCU